GCGGGGCCUGGUAGGAAAGCUCCGGCUGGCUGGGCCGGCCGUGCGCGCGCGCCGGACGGUCGGAGGGUCGGAAGGGAGCGAGCCUCAGCACGCCGGGAGCUGGGCAGCCCUGGGGCCUCGCUGAGCCGCAGAAAAGCUGUGGAAAUACACCCAUAUCAAAAUGCCCCUGGCCCGUGUGACCCUGCCCCAGGAGAAGCAGCCGAGUUACCCGACAUGGUGGUCAGCAGAAGCUGGGUUCGUGGCUGGAUGCUGCAGCUGCAAGGACUCAGCACUUCGGAGGGCUCCUGUACAAGGAGAGAAGCAGAGAUGCAACAUUUUUAAAGUUUCACAAAGCAUCCAGCUGCAUCCAGGUUCCUGGAGCAGGAGACAAACAGAAUUAAUGUUUUAUACCUUCGGGUAUAGGUUUGAGUUUUUUCCCCCUCAUGCCAAGUAUUUAAAACCUCUAGAAACCCAUGAUUUGACAAUCAAUGAUUGCGCGGUACUUUCAAUUUGAAUAUUCAAAGGCUUAACAAAAUGGACUAUCUUCUGCAGAAAUCCUGCACACAGACACCCCAUAGAGGGUCCAGAGAAACAGGGAGUGAGACCCCUUUAGGUCCUGACCCUUGCUUUUAUUUUAUUUUGAGCAUUUUGCCCACCUUCCCACAAACAGAGCAGGAGUGCUCAAAGAUGCUCUGUAUUUCUGCCUCAAAGGCAGCUCCAGGAGCCCUGAAGGACUUAGGCUGCUCUUCAUGACCACCUGAGCCAGCCUGGCUGGCCAGACUGAUCCCCACAUCCCCUAUUUGUAUUUUAGAGGGGUAAAUCUUACUUUUUAAGCAGUGAACAUGGCAGCCAGUAGGUAUGACAUGGCAAGUAGUCACUCUGGGCUCAGGUUGCAAGCCAGAGGCCUAGCAGAGGCCUUAGCUCUGCACCUCAUCUCCUUCUGGCCCUGCCUGGCUACCAGCAGGCUUCCCUCCCUUUUCACCUGCUCUCUCUCUGGGGCCCAGACACGGGGGUUUCAGGAGAAUGCCUGCUGGUUAAGAUCCUUUGCUCUUCUGCAAGGUGCUGGGGACUGCCCAUGGGGUCUUGCAGUUUGGAGAUUUUCAGAGACUAGUAGUUUCUUCACUGUGAAGUUUCCUCUUCUCCCCCUUUUCUCCCUCUAGAGCAUCCCUACUAGUUUGCUGCAGGAGCUUUUGUUGAGAAAUAAUAUAAUUGGCUCCUGCUCAUUUGAGCUGAAAGGACAUGGAUGCACUCAAGCCUUCAGACUUUGGCAAGAGGUGUGGGGGGAGGUGUUCUAGGCCUGAGCCCCUCACCAAUGACCUGGGGCUGUGUUGGGUCACAGCCCCAAAAUGGAAUUCCAAAAGUGGAAUUGAGCCCCACAGGGCACCAGAAAAAACCUGAGUGACUUCAAAUGUGUCUGAUGCAGGGUGGAGCCUGAGACAAUGAGGGAACAGGGCUGUCUGGAAAUGACAAGACACCAGAGUCUGUGAUGGGUAGGAAUUGCUUGGCAGCUGAAGCCUUGUCUCUGGUGGAGGCGACCAGGGCUGAGAACCACCAAGGUGGCACCUGACAGUGGAGGGCAGGCCAGGGUGUGCUUGUCUCUAGCCUAGUUGGAAUCUGUAACAGCUUCUGGAGCCUCUUUCUCCAAAGGCCCCUGAGCCUGUGCCCUGAGUUUCCCUGCUGGAAGUUAGACUUCAGACCAGACUCAGGAAGAGGGGAAGAACACCAGGUCAGAGGGUUCCAAUUUCCUUUCUCCCUGCUCUGCCCUGCCUGGGCACUGACUGCUCCUUCUGCAGGAACAGUGAACAAAGCAGCAUGGAUUUGGAUGGUGUCUUGUCCUACUAGCUUUUUCCACUGUUUCUUUUUUCUUUUGUCAUUUACCUUUUUGUUUCACAAUUGUUUUUUUGUUUUGCUUUUAAAAAUCGUCCUCUUUUUUUUAUUUGGCCUCUUUGAUUAUUUUUUCUGAGUUUCUUUUGGUCUGCCUUUCACUGCUUUCCUCCAUUUCUUGUCUGCUUUGAGGGUUUUUUUCCCUUCCUUCCUGGCUCCCUGUGUGUGUGUCUCUUUGCCCCUGUUCUGAGGUGCUGCCUCACAUUUUCAGGCUUAGUCUCCUUCCUAGCCUUUCCUUUCACAUGAAGAUGGACAGCGAUGGCAGGAAGCCAUAGUGUUCCCUUGGCAACAUCACUGAAGUUGAUGCUGAUGUUGGCUGCCCUGUGGAGAUGGCAGGUAGCGCUGGGUGAGAGGUGAGCUCCUUGGAAAUCACGGGGUCUGUAGGGACAGUGAAGACCUCCCUGUCCUUCUGCCAGAAAACCUCUGCUUGAACCAUGGCAGCAGUUUUGGGGGCUUGUGUAUUGGCACCUGCUGCUGGGACAGGUAUUCCAGUGCAGUUGCUGGCCUGCAACUUCAGACAACCGGGUUUCCUUAGACCUGAGCCCUAUUUUGAGAAAGAAGUCCCAUUUUUAGCCCAACAUUAAGGACUUUUAGUUUCUGCUUUUCUAUAACUGCAAAACCCCAGCUCAGGUAUUCAGGAGCCAAACACCAUGCUUUAGGGCAUAAGGGAGAAUCCUUUCUAAGUAUAUUCUGUGAAUCCUCUUAUUGAUCUGCAUGUGUUGUGAGGUCUGGAGCAGCCAUGUCUGCCCCGGGACCCCAUAGAUGUGGAUGUUUCAAACAAGAGGCUUUUUAAAAGUUGUCAUUUACUGAAUGUUGAUUGGAUGCCAGGCACCAUAUGGUAUAGUCUUCUCAUUUCACAAAAGGGGGAACAGGCACAGAGGGGUAAGCAACAUGCCCAAGAUUAUUGACCCUUAAAUGGUAGGAUUGGGAACCAAACUUUGAUACAUCCUAUGCUAAAGCCUUUCCUCUUAACUAUCAUUGCUGUCUUCCUGAUCUUUUAUAGCACAGGCUUUCAAACUUUUUCAACUUCAACCCACAUAAGGAACUUACUUUGCAUGUUCAUGUACUAUAUCUAUAAUAAUAUCUACAUAUUUAUAAAACAAACUUUUCAUAAGACAGUGUACACCUGUGCAUUUGAAGCACUCUGAAAUUUUAUAUUGUAUUCCAUUUUUUCCAUUUUAUUCUAUGAAAAAUCUAUGUUGCCUGGGAGUGACUAAGAUAAUUUAAUGGCUCACUGAUGCGCUGUGACUAGCAGUGGGGAAAUACUGCCUAUAGGAUGUGCUGACGCACACGUCUCUGUUGUGCAUGUGGGAGUGUUUAGGUUCACUGUUUUACUCUUCGGUCGUGUGAGGAGACUCAGAUGGUGCAGCAUACUAACUUGAGAGUAUUCUGUAAACACAAGACAUUAGAACCCAAAGAAUAGGCUGCCUAUUCUUUGUGGUAAGUACAGUUUGUGCUUCGCAGACUGGGAACUUCUUCCCUCUUGCUGUGGGCAUUGCUACCUCUAGGGUGUCCUGAUAAGCAUUUUUGGGUCUUAAUAAAAGGCUGCAAAAUACUAUGGGGUUUCAACAGCUUCAACAGAUUCACUUGCUUAAAAAUGUAACAUAAGGUCCUGAUGUUUGCAUGUUGGAAGGGAUCUUUAAGGUGCUGAGAAACUUGUCAACAUCCCUGCUGGUGGUUGUCCAGCCUCAGGUUCUCUCCAUUGCUUGCUGGGCUGCUGACCUACCGUAGAUGAGGAAAUGGGAGCUCACUAUUGAUCAGGCAGCCUGUUCUAUGAUUAGACUGCCUUGAAUAUAAUCAUUGAUCAAGCAAAAAGCCAGUAAGGUGUUAAUUGAGCACCACCUAUGUACCAGGCAUGGUAUCAAGUACCAGGAAUGCAAAGAUAAGUAAGUCCUGCUUUCUGUCAUCAACUGCUCUGUGAGUAACAUGGGAAAACUGAUUCCUACUGAUUCUCCACUAGGGCCAUUCAUUCACUCACUCAUUCAUUCAUUCAUUCAUUCAGAAAGCAUAUGUUCAUUAUCUACUUUGACCAGGCUGUGCUAAAGCUGAAGAAGUUAUCAUGCCCACCCCCCACCCAAAGCUUUUCUUUUUGAGGCUCCCCAUCUUGAGUUUCUCUAGUUCUUCAUAUGUUACAGUUCUGCAGAUAUCUGGGCCACUGAGCUAAGAAACCCUUUAGUUUGUCAUUGACCUUCAUAAAGUCACUCAACAUGCAGAACAAUGAGAAUAGAAUACAUUUCUUUUUAAAGUUUCAAAUUAACUUUUUUAACUCAAUUUUUGUCAGUCUUUUGUAUGUAAAUGAUACUGCAGAGCACUAUAUUCUCCCCACAAAGGAGGAGAUUUUAUUAAACUUAGACAUGAUGAAAAGGCUUUCAAUGUAAGGAAAAGGGGGAGUUUAUUCUCUUCAAAUUUGACUACAGCUCUAACCUCUAUUAAUGCAAACUUCUUUUGUCAUUUUGACUUUGGGAUACUGUUGCCCAACCUUGUGGGAAAUGUCAAGUUCCAAAAACAUGGAGGAAAUUAGUAGUUACUGGGCCCAGAGUGAUUGUUUGGUCCAUAUGAAAAUGGCCAGGGAGACCUUUAGGUAGAGAUUACUUAAUGAUUUGUGGUAAAUCAGUCUCUUCCCAUAAAACAUAUUCCAAGUCUUAACUUUCCCUUCAGAGGCUGCCAUAGAGAAUGAACCUUUGAUAACUUUUGUUUUCAUUAAGGGAAAUAUCACACAAGAUGAAUACCAUCACAGAUGAAAAGUUCAUUUUCUUCUCAAAACAUUUUUAUUAUGCAAUAUAUGUCAUAGAAAACAUACCUAAAGAUUACCAUGAUAAAAGCCUAUGAAUAUUCAGAUACAACACAGUUGAUACACAGUUGAAUUUCCUUUAUGGCUAAGUUAAUUUAUUAAGCAUUAAACUUUUGGUUUAUUCCACUCAAGACCCUUGGUUAGGGCAAAGGUCAGUAGGGACAUCUAUC